UUAUACAAGUUGUAGAGCCAAGGUGGUAUACAAGAAUGAAACGAGAGCAAAAAGAGAAAGAAAAAUGGAUGAAGCCAACGUUCCAAACAGUCCUCAACAGCAAUUGACUUAAUGAUAACCCAAAUCAGGUGGAGACGUAUAGAUACAUAAAGUAAAGUGAGUCUUACAACACUUUAAUUGCCAUAUAAAUUUAUUAGAGAAGAAGUCACUCUCCAGGAAGGUUAGUUUUGUCAGAGAAGAAGUAGGUGAAACAAGUAGACGGGGGCAGAUCAUUGAAAGUGAAGAGGAAGCGAGUUCCACGUCCAAGAUGAGGAAAGAAAAUCUUGAGAAACUACAGGAAGCAGGGGCCAAUAUUACCCAAAAUUCAGUUGAGAAGACUACGCCAAAAAUACAAAAGGUUCCGGCCUUGCUGCGUGGACACAAAAAUUUCAAAAAGUGCUUUGAGCCAAUGGUGGUAUCACUCGGUCCUAUCCAUCAUGGCAAGCAAAUUCGUCGAGAAAAGUGGCAGGUCGAGUGAAUUUUUGCUCUGGAAAAUUACGAAGAACAUCAAGCAACUGAAUCAGUACUUGAAUGAAAAGGUGGUUAUGAAGUAUGAUGAUGAGACCCUUGCCUGGAUGCUGUUUGUUGACGGGUGUGCAGUGUUGCAAUCCAUACACUCUGCAUUUCAACCAGAGCUUAUCAAAAAGUUGAAGAUAAAAAAUGAUCAGAUGGCUAUAUGACAAAGUAUAAGGCCCAUAAACUUUGUGUAUGAUGGAGCAUAUAUGUUUAUACUAAUUUAUACUUUGCAAUGAAAUAUGAUGUUUUAGACCUAAUUUAGUCUUUGCCAAUGAAAUAAAGGUGGUCAUUUGGUUACUAUUUGAUGUUCAAAUUCCCUUAAUCAACUCAGGUUGCAUGUGUAUUGCCAGUAUUGCCCAUGUUGAUGGAGAAAGAGGACAACUGCAUUGAUUGUCAAGCAUAUUAUUGCUCAAAUGGUGGUUUAUUUUCGAGUAAGGUGGUUAAUUCUGCACUAUCUGGUUUUUUCCUAUAGAGUACUAAUAGUUCUUUAUUUCCUUAGACACAGUACUUCUUUCAUAGAUUUUAAUAAUCUGCUUUUCUAGGAUGAUUAUUUGCUUUGCUUUGGUGAUCCACAAAGAAUAACAAGGUUAGAAAAAUCACUUUCUUGUCCAUUCCCUUAGUUCGAGUUUAUACUUGGUUUCAUUUUUGAACCAGAAAGGAAUGAGUAGACACUGAAUUUUCAUAUGGGGUAGCGUUUAGUGAACAUGGAAGCACUUGUGCAGAAGUUUGAAGAAGCAACUUCGGUUUUAUCAUAUUUGCCAAAACCUGUCAGCUCCAUUCAACAUAUAUAGCAUUUCCAAGUUUAGCAUUUGCAGCCCAAGUGGUCUGCUGGCCCUUGUUGCUACUAUUUCUUUGGAAUCUUUGGAUUCUCAGGUGAGAUUUUCCUUUCAUUUUUGUUUGUUCUCUCUGGUCUUAAGACUUCAUUUUUGCUUCAUAUAUGAUGUCAAGAUCUCCAUGAAUCUACUCGUGGGGUUGCAUAUGUAGUGGCAUUAUUGCUCAUGUUGGUUGGUAGGGAUUAUGGGAACUCACUCUAUUGAUAUGAACUUUUGGGUUUAGGGACCUGUACAACAUGUGCACUGAUGUAACAUGUCUUUAUUUUCAAGGACGUCUUCUUUUGUAGACUUUAGUAAUCUAUCUAUUCUAACACUAUUUGAAUUCAAUCACAGGAGAAAAGAGAGAUUCUUAAACUUGGGGCAUCAAACUUCCAGAUUAGGUGGAGAGGACUAUGAUGAUCCAAAGGUAGAUUUGGAGUUAGAGCUUCAACUUGUUUGACAUGAAUAAGAAUCUUGAGUCUUGGAGGUUGGGAGUUCCUCGAAAAUUCCCAGUUCAAAUUCAUCAUGGAAUCUGGAGUUUAAACCAUUUGUGUGUUGCACAAUUCUUUGUUACUUUUCUAGCCUUGUGUGUUGUGAGUAGUUAAUCUGGGUGGUAUUCAGCAGUUCUUGAUUAUCAAGAACGUUACAGAAUGACAUGUACGUGUAAAAGAGCUGAAUCUUAAGACCACCACACUACUGCCACUGUCAUCCAUCUCUCUCUCUCUCUCUCUCUCUGGUUAUUUAUAAGGUUGAACAAUUUGGAUCUAGCUGUCAAUUUUGACAAAAGUUGGGGAAUCUUCAUGCUAUUAAUUAGCUUA